GGGGGAGGGGACGAAGCUGCCUGCCGCCAUUUUGCUUGUGGGCUGCCGCCCGCUGUUGCCUCUUGGCACAGAGGCUUGAAGACAGGCAACUGGAGGCAGAGAGGUGGGCAGAGUCUCCGUCUUUUUUCAGAACAGAUGCAUUCAACAAUUUACAGAAGUCUGGCCUCCAGCGCUGGGUGAACUCGUUUUGGGUGUCACUCGACGCCCACUAGGGGCUGAGGAGGCUCCAGUGCGCAGACUCCGGGCACCGGAUAAAAGCGGAGCUGGAGCGUCCAGCGCCGUCUCGAUGGAGGAGCGAGAAACGGAAGAGGUCGGGGGGAGAAGCAGCAGGAAAAAUACAGCCACCGUCAGCGCCGCUUCCCUGCCACCGUGUAUCGGGGUAAAAAGCUGCCGUUGCCGUCGGUGCAGUUGCCGUCGCUGCCUCCUACUUCUCUUGGCCCCGGGGAAGGAUUUCCCCGCCGGCGGGACAAUGUGCGGGGUGGGGAGCAGGAGUUAACCUUUAUGUGGCGGUGAUUAAACGAGGGAGGGACAGAGAGACGGUUAUCUCGAAGAAAAAAGGGGGAUGCCAAAGAAUAAAACAAGGGUUUCCCCACUAAAAUAACAUUGUGAUUCCGGUUCUUGUUUUCGGGGUCUUUCCCCGAAAUGGCGGUUUCCGUCUUCUUGCUCCACAGAGACCCGGAGCGCUUGGUAAGCGGAGUGGGGAGAGGCAGAGGCGGUCCAUGCGGCCAAUCAGUGCCUGGUGUGUCCUGUCGGGCUAGUAGUGAUUGGCUAGCGAUGACCUCAUGCUGCAGCAGCGGGUGGGGCCAGAGCCGUCGGGGGAGGCUGUUGCAAAGGCAGAGAGGGAGAAGUGACGAUGGUGAUGGUUGCUGCCGCGGCCGAUAUGGAACCCAAGCAGUGGCGAAGAGAAUCUCAAGGCUCUUCCCUGAGUAUUUUCUCCUGUCCUUGCGCGAGGUGAGGGCCCCGGCUCGGCCCCUGCGAAACCUUGGGGCGCUGGCGCGGACGAGGAGACACCAUUUCUCUCAUGACUUUUGUAACUGCGUCAGGGCAAGAUGGCGCUGGGUCUCCUUGGGGCGCGGGGGGAGAGGCACGUCCACCGCCGCCGCAGCGCAUGUGACCGGGCUGCAUUCCUGUGGGGUUUGGCUCCGACCCAGGCUGGGGCGGGGGAGGGGAAAGGGCUUGGGCGGAGGAGACUGUGGUGCGGUCGGCGUUGGCGGCCUGAAGAGGAAGAGAUGACUGUUUGAGAGCGCUUCCCCUCCCCCAUACAGCUUACGGUUGCGGCUCCCAGAGGAAAGCCCCUGGAGGGACACUCCUUUUGGGUGUGACGGCUGUUGGUGGAGGAGAAGGUUUGGUGCCCUAUUUUCUUAUCUACCUUUCUCCUUGCAAAGUACUUACGUAAGGUGGCAGGUUCCUAAUGUGGGAAUCUACUAUGAGUCCCUGAGGGCCUCUGGACUGAGUAAAGAGGGGAGAGACUAGCUCCUGGGCCACGACGACGAGCGGUAUCAGUUAUUUUUUGAGAAGACGUAAAAUUUCUCAGAUCCUAGUAGAAAAAUGUUUCCUAAAUUUGGAAGCAAAGGUAAAAGGUGUAAACACCCAGGAACACUUAAAAUCUCCGAAGUUACAGGGAAUUUGCCAUCUGAAUUUUGAGGACCUUUUUCAGGCUUUCUGUUCCUUUCCUAUGUACUUUGUUCUCGUAUCCUCCUUAUCUGUGUAUUCUACAAGAAUGUGUAAUUUUAGCGGAUUUGCUUUUCUUUCUAAAUUUAGGCGUGAUCAGUAAUAACAAUAAAAGCGAUAGUGUUGUGAUCUGUAUGAAGUUGUAAGGAUGUUUUCAGUACUUUCGUCUUUCUGUCGCCCUCUUAACUAUGGUUUUUAAAAAUAAAACAUGAAUUCACUUUC